AUUGAACGCUGGCGGCAGGCUUUACACAUGCAAGUCGAACGGCAACAGGCCAAGGGCUUCUUACUACGGGCGGAGGGUUGCGUAAUGCAGCGGAACAUAUCCGAAUCUGCGUGUUAAUGCAGCGAAAGGUAGGCUAAUAUCCCCUGUUAUCUCAUAAGGAAUACGGGGGACCGAGCAGGAACUUUUGGCCUCGCGCCAUUGGAUCAGCCGAUGUCGGAUUAGCUAGUUGGCGGGGUAAAGGCCCACCAAGGCGACGAUCCGUAGCUGGUCUGAGAGGAUGACCAGCCACACUGGGACUGAGACACGGUCCAGACUCCUACGGGAGGCAGCAGUGGGGAAUUUUGGACAAUGGGCGCAAGCCUGAUCCAGCCAUGCCGCGUGGGGGAAGAAGGCCUUCGGGUUGUAAAGCGCUUUUGGUAGGAAAGAAAAGGAGUCCGCUAAUACCGCGCGGUUAUGACGGUACCCAAAGAAUAAGCACCGGCUAACUACGUG
rnacentral:rRNA from 1 species